AUUGAACGCUGGCGGCAGGCCUAACACAUGCAAGUCGAGCGGAUGAAGGGAGCUUGCUCCUGGAUUCAGCGGCGGACGGGUGAGUAAUGCCUAGGAAUCUGCCUGGUAGGGGGGGAUAACGUCCGGAAACGGGCGCUAAUACCGCAUACGUCCUGAUGGAGAAAGUGGGGGAUCGUCGGACCUCACGCUAUCAGAUGAGCCUAGGUCGGAUUAGCUAGUUGGUGGGGUAAAGGCCUACCAAGGCGACGAUCCGUAACUGGUCUGAGAGGAUGAUCAGUCACACUGGAACUGAGACACGGUCCAGACUCCUACGGGAGGCAGCAGUGGGGAAUAUUGGACAAUGGGCGAAAGCCUGACACAGCCAUGCCGCGUGUGUGAAGAAGGUCUUCGGAUUGUAAAGCACUUUAAGUUGGGAGGAAGGGCAGUAAGUUAAUACCUUGCUGUUUUGACGUUACCAACAGAAUAAGCACCGGCUAACUUCGUG
rnacentral:rRNA from 1 species